AACGAACACUGGCGGCAUGCUUAACACAUGCAAGUCGAACGUGAAGGGGACUUCGGUCCCUGGAAAGUGGCGCACGGGUGAGUAACACGUGGAUAAUCCACCCGAUGAUCUGGAAUAACACUUCGAAAGGGGUGCUAAUACCGGAUAAGCUCACGACGUCUUCGGACGACGCGGGAAAAGGGGGCUUCGGCUCCUGUCAUCGGAUGAGUCCGCGGCCCAUUAGCUAGUUGGUAGGGUAAUGGCCUACCAAGGGUACGAUGGGUAGCUGGUCUGAGAGGAUGAUCAGCCACACGGGAACUGAGACACGGUCCAGACUCCUACGGGAGGCAGCAUUGGGGAAUUUUGCGCAAUGGGCGAAAGCCUGACGCAGAAAUGCCGCGUGAGUGAUGAAGGCCUUCGGGUCGUAAAGCUCUGUCAGAGGGGAAGAAACUCCCGUCGGUUAAUACCCGGCGGGCCUGACGGUACCCUCAAAGGAAGCACCGGCUAACUCCGUGCCAGCCGCCGCAGUAA
rnacentral:rRNA from 1 species